AAUAUUGGACAAUGGGCGAAAGCCUGAUCCAGCCAUGCCGCGUGUGUGAAGAAGGUCUGCGGAUUGUAAAGCACUUUAAGUGGGGAGGAAGGGCAGUAAGGUAAUACCUCGCUGUUUUGACGUUACCGACAGAAUAAGCACCGGAUCACUUCGCGCCAGCAGCCGCGGUAAUACGAAGGGCGCAAGCGUUAAGCGGAAUUACGGGGCGUAAAGCGCGCGUAGGUGGUUUGUUAAGUUGGAAGUGAAAGCCCCGGGCUCAACCUGGGAGCUGCUUUCAAAACUGGCAAGCUAGAGUACGGUAGAGGGUAGUGGAAUUUCCUGUGUAGCGGUGAAAUGCGUAGAUAUAGGAAGGAACACCAGUGGCGAAGGCGACUACCUGGACUGAUGCAGACACUGAGGUGCGAAAGCGUGGGGAGCAAACAGG
rnacentral:rRNA from 1 species